rnacentral:rRNA from 1 species
GAUUGGUGCCUUCGGGAACUCUGAGACAGGUGCUGCAUGGCUGUCGUCAGCUCGUGUUGUGAAAUGUUGGGUUAAGUCCCGCAACGAGCGCAACCCUUAUCCUUUGUUGCCAGCGGUUCGGCCGGGAACUCAAAGGAAACUGCCAGUGAUAAACUGGAGGAAGGUGGGGAUGACGUCAAGUCAUCAUGGCCCUUACGAGUAGGGCUACACACGUGCUACAAUGGCGCAUACAAAGAGAAGCGACCUCGCGAGAGCAAGCGGACCUCAUAAAGUGCGUCGUAAUCCGGAUUGGAGUCUGCAACUCGACUCCAUGAAGUCGGAAUCGCUAGUAAUCGUAGAUCAGAAUGCUACGGUGAAUACG